CCUACGGGUGGCAGCAGUGGGGAAUAUUGCACAAUGGGGGAAACCCUGAUGCAGCAACGCCGCGUGGGUGAAGGAGCGUUUCGGCGCGUAAAGCCCUGUCAGCGGGGAAGAAGAAAGACGGUACCCGACCAAGAAGCCCCGGCUAACUACGUGCCAGCAGCCGCGGUAAUACGUAGGGGGCGAGCGUUAUCCGGAAUUAAUGGGUGUAAAGGGCGUGUAGGCGGGACUGCAAGUCAGAUGUGAAACCCAUGGGCUCAACCCAUGGCCUGCAUUUGAAACUGUAGUUCUUGAGUGAUGGAGAGGCAGGCGGAAUUCCGUGUGUAGCGGUGAAAUGCGUAGAUAUACGGAGGAACACCAGUGGCGAAGGCGGCCCGCUGGACAUUAACUGACGCUGAGGCGCGAAAGCGUGGGGAGCAAACAGGAUUAGAUACCCUUGUAGUC
rnacentral:rRNA from 1 species